UCAUAUGUACAUGUCUACAACGUUAAUGCACCAAAUCCCAUUAGAACUAUGUAGUUAAGUGCACUUGGGCUAGAGUAGUAUUAGGAUGAGUGACCUCCCAUGAAGUCCUAGUGUUUUACAUGCC
rnacentral:rRNA from 1 species